rnacentral:rRNA from 1 species
GUGGGGAAUAUUGGACAAUGGGCGAAAGCCUGAUCCAGCCAUGCCGCGUGUGUGAAGAAGGUCUUCGGAUUGUAAAGCACUUUAAGUUGGGAGGAAGGGCAGUAAGUUAAUACCUUGCUGUUUUGACGUUACCGACAGAAUAAGCACCGGCUAACUUCGUGCCAGCAGCCGCGGUAAUACGAAGGGUGCAAGCGUUAAUCGGAAUUACUGGGCGUAAAGCGCGCGUAGGUGGUUUUGUAAGUUGGAGGUGAAAUCCCCGGGCUCAACCUUGGAACUGCCUCCAAAACUGCAUGACUAGAGUACGGUAGAGGGUAGUGGAAUUUCCUGUGUAGCGGUGAAAUGCGUAGAUAUAGGAAGGAACACCAGUGGCGAAGGCGACUACCUGGACUGAUACUGACACUGAGGUGCGAAAGCGUGGGGAGCAAACAGGAUUAGAAACCCCGGUAGUCC